CCUGGCCAGGGGGACCCGCACACAGCGUGGAAGGCCCAGAAGAGUCCUGUGAAGAUGGAAGUCAGAUCAUGCCCUCACCUUGCUCGUUCAGGCGUUUCCAGGAAUCACCGCCCACGUCAGUCACCUGCACUUGGAUCCUGUUUCGUGGUCUGCUUCGGGGGGACCCCAAACCGGGAAGAUGUGGCGCCUCGGUCUUUUCACCCUUCACAAGAAGGUAGGAGAGCCCUCGAGUCAGCCUGAGGCGUGGGGGGUUGUUGGAAGGCCCAGGGCCAGAGCAGGACAUCUGCGACACUCGAAACUCGAGUGCGGAGUGCUGGACCCAGCUCAGUGGCUGCAAGCGACAGAACCUCAUGGUAACAUCUCCCAGGACUGGAGGAGGCUGCAGGACGCUGAACCCUAGGGAUGGGGAUGGAGACUCAGGACCAGUGGGUCUCUCUCUCUCUCUCUCUGCCACUCUGCUCUGUGGACAUUCAGGGACCUUGUCCAUCAGGCAUUGACCUCCCCCCUCCCCCACCACUGUCACGCCUGUCCCCAUGCCUAAGUGCCCUGCCUUUUGCUUACAGACCUCGUCCUGCCCUCCAGCCCAGGCCUGCUCAGAUCUCUCCCCGGGAACUCUGAGCCUACACUCCAGCCACUGCCUGCAUUACUGCUCCCGACAGACUCAUCCCGAAUCCUGAGAUCUGAGCCCCUCCCAGUGGGGGCUUCCUUGGGGGGGAGUCUGGACCCCGGACUUCGGACUGGGAACAGGAGCAGCUCUGAUUGCCUCUGGCUGCUCAGGUCCCGGCUGGUCCCCAUCUCUCCUCCCACCUCCCAGGUGAGGUCCCAGGGGACUCACUGGAUGCCCAGAGGAAAAAGCUUGGAGCGAUCUGUCCAAACGCAGAUACAAUGGUGGCAUUUUCCAGACGGGCAGGGAACGUGUAACAGGCGUGGGCCCGGGUCUGCGUCCUAGCUCCCCGCGUCCCAGCUGUGUCUUCCUCGCUAAGCCCUUUCACCUCUCUGACCCGUGGUCUCCUCCUCUGGGAAGUAUGACAGCAAUGUCCAGCUUGCCUGUCUUCCCCCGCCCCCAACGUAUAAAUAAGAUGGGUUUUGUGCCUGUGCCUGGGAAGGUGG